CUGUUGCCUAAUCAUAAGUGGGAGUGAUUACAGCCUCAGUCUGCAGCAUACACCUCCUGGAGCUUGCAUGCUGAGGAACCACUGAUGAGCAAGCUUACCUGAAACAGAUAAACAGCAGUGCUAUGAGAUUAUGGGUGAUCAGAAAUAAAAACUAAAAAAGAAGUGGCCCAUCGCCAUUGCAAGCCAAAACUGUGCAUUAGUCAACUCUGACGGCACCAUCUGCCUCAGUGGCCUGGAAUCUGGAAGAUCCUUCAUUCUGACCAACUUGCAAAGAAACAAUCCAUAACACCUAAUCAGAUGAUGGACCUGAACCAAACCGCCAUAUCGGAACAGUGCUGAAUACAAAGCCAAAUUCUGAUCCAAAUAAUGAAGUGAGUCCCUAGCUCCACAGUGGUAUGAACAAAAUAAUUGGAUCCAAACACCCUUGAAUAUUGUGGUGGCUGACAUCUAGAUCCCAAAAUGUUGUGGUGACUUGUGUGGAUGCCACAAAUGAAUGAACAUAUGGGGAAGGCCUAAAACAUAUGGCAGGAUCAACGCUGUUUUCAGUAUUAAAUGUUUGUAUUAUAUACACACUAGAAAUGACUAUCCUGUAGCUAUACUGCAAAACUUCAGAAAGGAAAUGAGAGAGAAGCCAGUGGUGUCUGUGGAGAUAGAGAAACGGAUGAUGCACUCAGCUACAGUGAAGAGACCACUAAGUAUCUACUGCUUGAGCAAUUAGAACUUGCUGACCUGCAUGCCUAUACAUCGCAAAGGCAGAUGUUUGCUUGCCCAGUGACAUGGAUGGACUUACAGGGAGAGACAGGUAACAGUCUUCAUGGCGGGCACAAGCUGCCAACACCACUAGGUCCCUCAGGCAAGGUCAAUUGAUUGCCAAGACCAUCCAAGCUUGAUUUUGAAAAAUGGCAGCAAAGGUUUCCAUUUAUUUGGUUUAAGGGAGAGAUGCUGGCAAUGAAACUAUGUAUACAGGACUAAGAAAUUAGGGCCUAAUCCAAAAUCCACUGAAGUCGCUAGAAGGUUUCUCAUUGUCUUUCAGGCCUGAUGCAAAGCCCAUCCAAGGAGCAUUCUUUUUGAACAGAGAGUGUGAAUAACAACAUUCUGUAGAGAUGAGGUUUCAGUGUCACUGGACUGUUCACCCAACGCCUGUAUUAAAAUUGCUAAUUGUGAGCCCUUCUCUGCUGCUUCAGAGAGCUACAC